CAGUGGCAACACCUUGGCAAAGUCAAGCAACUUCGAGGGUUCACGGCUGCAGGACGUUUCUCUAUGGAAAUAAAUGGACGAACGAGGAAAAUGAUGACCACUAACUUUUUGAUGGGAACGGGGAAAAUCAACCAUGUGUCAAUAUUCGACAUGAGAAGAAGACAGUAUCUGUGUACUAAUUUAAAGGGAGAUCUGUUUAAUUCCAGGGAGAGGUACAGAGAAGGAUGUAUUUACAAGCGUAUCUGGUUAGACCCAAAGAAGAACUGUUAUAUCCUCUACUCCUCCAGCAGUGGCCGGCUGCUUAUGAUUGGGGGGUAUGACAUCUGUACAGCUCACCACAAGUCACCUAAACCUUCCUCUGU